AGAGUUUGAUCAUGGCUCAGGAUAAACGCUGGCGGCGUGCAUGAGACAUGCAAGUCGAACGGACGAUCAGGGCUUGCUCUGAUCGUUAGUGGCGGACGGCUGAGUAACGCGUAGGUGACCUGCCCCGAAGUGGGGAAUAACUGCCCGAAAGGGUGGCUAAUACCGCAUGUGGUGGUGUGUUCGAUCACACCAGUAAAGCCGCAAGGCGCUUCGGGAGGGGCCUGCGUCCGAUUAGCUCGUUGGUGGGGUAACGGCUCACCAAGGCGACGAUCGGUAGGUGGUCUGAGAGGACGAUCACCCAGACUGGGACUGAGACACGGCCCAGACUCCUACGGGAGGCAGCAGUCGGGAAUUUUGCGCAAUGGACGAAAGUCUGACGCAGCAACGCCGCGUGAGGGAUGACGGCCUUCGGGUUGUAAACCUCUUUUGUCAGGGACGAUGAUGACGGUACCUGACGAAUAAGUCACGGCUAACUACGUGCCAGCCGCCGCGGUAAUAC
rnacentral:rRNA from 1 species